rnacentral:rRNA from 1 species
AUACGAAGGGGGCUAGCGUUGUUCGGAAUUACUGGGCGUAAAGCGCACGUAGGCGGAUUGAUAAGUUAGGGGUGAAAUCCCGAGGCUCAACCUCGGAACUGCCUUUAAUACUGUUAGUCUCGAGUCCGGAAGAGGUGAGUGGAAUUCCUAGUGUAGAGGUGGAAUUCGUAGAUAUUAGGAAGAACACCAGUGGCGAAGGCGGCUCACUGGUCCGGUACUGACGCUGAGGUGCGAAAGCGUGGGGAGCAAACAGGAUUAGAAACCCGAGUAGUCC